GUCUUUGUCGUCUAAAGGUUAGGACAGCUGACUUUCUAUCAGCGAAUGGCGGUUCGAUUCCGCUCAAGGACUCCA
rnacentral:tRNA from 1 species